CUGCUGCCUCCCGUAGGAGUCUGGGCCGUGUCUCAGUCCCAGUGUGGCCGUUCAACCUCUCAGUCCGGCUACGCAUCGUCGCCUUGGUAGGCCAUUACCCCACCAACAAGCUAAUACGCCGCAGGCCCAUCUCUAAGCGAAGCUUUAAAGGCUCCUUUAAUAUUUCUAUCACAUUCGGUAUUAGCAGCCGUUUCCAACUGUUCGUCCCCAACUUAGAGGCAGGUAACCCACGUGUUACUCACCCGUUCGCCACUAAGUGCAAG
rnacentral:rRNA from 1 species